CAGCAGCCGCGGUAAUACGGAGGGUGCAAGCGUUAAUCGGAAUUACUGGGCGUAAAGCGUGCGUAGGCGGUUCGUUAAGUCUGUUGUGAAAGCCCCGGGCUCAACCUGGGAAUGGCAAUGGAUACUGGCGAGCUAGAGUGUGUCAGAGGAUGGUGGAAUUCCCGGUGUAGCGGUGAAAUGCGUAGAGAUCGGAAGGAACAUCAGUGGCGAAGGCGGCCAUCUGGGACAACACUGAUGCUGAGGCACGAAAGCGUGGGGAGCAAACAGGAUUAGAUACCCCGGUAGUCCCUGUCUCUUAUAC
rnacentral:rRNA from 1 species